GGUUCUGUGGUGUAAUGGUAAGCACUUUGGACUUUGAAUCCUAGGAUCCGAGUUCAAGUCUCGGCGGAACCU
rnacentral:tRNA from 1 species